UACGUAGGGGGCUAGCGUUGUCCGGAUUUAUUGGGCGUAAAGAGCGUGUAGGCGGCCUGGUAGGUCUGCUGUGAAAACUCGAGGCUCAACCUCGAGAUGUCGGCGGAAACCAUCUGGCUAGAGUCCGGAAGAGGAGAGUGGAAUUCCUGGUGUAGCGGUGAAAUGCGCAGAUAUCAGGAGGAACACCCGGUGGCGAAGGCGGGUCUCUGGGCCGAUACUGACGUGAGGAGCGAAAGCGUGGGGAGCGAACAGG
rnacentral:rRNA from 1 species